UACAGAGGGGGCAAGCGUUGUUCGGAAUUACUGGGCGUAAAGGGCGCGUAGGCGGCCUGUUAAGUCGAACGUGAAAUCCCCGGGCUCAACCCGGGAACUGCGUCCGAUACUGGCAGGCUUGAAUCCGGGAGAGGGAUGCGGAAUUCCAGGUGUAGCGGUGAAAUGCGUAGAUAUCUGGAGGAACACCGGUGGCGAAGGCGGCAUCCUGGACCGGGUAUUGACGCUGAGGCGCGAAAGCCAGGGGGAGCAAACGGGG
rnacentral:rRNA from 1 species